AUUGCCCUCUUUCUUUAGGCCUAACACAUGCAAGUCGAACGGCAGCACAGUAAGAGCUUGCUCUUACGGGUGGCGAGUGGCGGACGGGUGAGGAAUACAUCGGAAUCUACUUUUUCGUGGGGGAUAACGUAGGGAAACUUACGCUAAUACCGCAUACGACCUACGGGUGAAAGCAGGGGAUCUUCGGACCUUGCGCGAUUAAAUGAGCCGAUGUCGGAUUAGCUAGUUGGCGGGGUAAAGGCCCACCAAGGCGACGAUCCGUAGCUGGUCUGAGAGGAUGAUCAGCCACACUGGAACUGAGACACGGUCCAGACUCCUACGGGAGGCAGCAGUGGGGAAUAUUGGACAAAGGGCGCAAGCCUGAUCCAGCCAUACCGCGUGGGUGAAGAAGGCCUUCGGGUUGUAAAGCCCUUUUGUUGGGAAAGAAAAGCAGCAGGUUAAUACCCCGCUGUUCUGACGGUACCCAAAGAAUAAGCACCGGCUAACUUCGUG
rnacentral:rRNA from 1 species